rnacentral:rRNA from 1 species
UACGUAGGAUGCAAGCGUUGUUCGGAAUUACUGGGCGUAAAGAGUACGUAGGCGGUGACAUAAGUCUGAAAUUAAAGACAGAAGCUCAACUUCUGGAAUGUAUCGGAAACUGUGUUACUAGAGGAUAGUAGAGGAAGUCGGAAUUCUCAGUGUAGCGGUGAAAUGCGUAGAUAUUGGGAAGAACACCAGUGGCGAAAGCGGACUUCUGGGCUAUUAUUGACGCUGAGGUACGAAAGUGUGGGGAGCAAACGGG